rnacentral:rRNA from 1 species
UACAGAGGUCUCAAGCGUUGUUCGGAUUCAUUGGGCGUAAAGGGCGCGUAGGCGGGUUGCCGCGUCCGGGGUGAAAUCCCACGGCUCAACCGUGGAACGGCCCCGGAUACGGGCGGCCUAGAGGGGGGUAGGGGCGGGCGGAACUCUGCGUGGAGCGGUGAAAUGCGUUGAUAUGCAGAGGAACUCCGGUGGCGAAGGCGGCCCGCUGGACCCCAUCUGACGCUGAGGCGCGAAAGCCAGGGGAGCGAACGGG